rnacentral:rRNA from 1 species
UACGAGGGGUGCAAGCGUUGCUCGGAAUUAUUGGGCGUAAAGGGUAGGUAGGUGGUCUCAUUUGUCUGGGGUGAAAGCCUUGAGCUUAACUCAAGAAGUGCCCCGGAAACGGUGAGACUAGAGUCUUGGAGAGGGUCGUGGAAUUCCCGGUGUAGCGGUGAAAUGCGUAGAGAUCGGGAGGAACACCUGUGGCGAAGGCGGCCAUCUGGACAACUACUGACACUGAGACGCGAAAGCGUGGGUAGCAAACAGG